UACGUAGGGUGCGAGCGUUGUCCGGAAUUAUUGGGCGUAAAGGGCUCGUAGGCGGUUUGUCGCGUCGGGAGUGAAAACCAGGUGCUUAACACCUGGCUUGCUUUCGAUACGGGCAGACUAGAGGUAUGCAGGGGAGAACGGAAUUCCUGGUGUAGCGGUGAAAUGCGCAGAUAUCAGGAGGAACACCGGUGCGAAGGCGGUUCUCUGGGCAUUACCUGACGCUGAGGAGCGAAAGUGUGGGGAGCGAACAGG
rnacentral:rRNA from 1 species